UUAAGUCCCGCAACGAGCGCAACCCCUAUUGUUAGUUGCCAUCAUUCAGUUGGGCACUCUAGCGAGACUGCCGGUAAUAAACCGGAGGAAGUGGGAUGACGUCAAAUCAUCAUGCCCCUUAUGACCUGGGCUACACACGUGCUACAAUGGUUGGUACAACGAGUUGCGAGUCGGUGACGGCGAGCUAAUCUCUUAAAGCCAAUCUCAGUUCGGAUUGUAGGCUGCAACUCGCCUACAUGAAGUCGGAAUCGCUAGUAAUCGCGGAUCAGCACGCCGCGGUGAAUACGUUCCCGGGCCUU
rnacentral:rRNA from 1 species